UGUGGCGAGGCGGUGGCACAAAUGUGAUUCAGCACAAGCGCCUCUCUCCCGUCUCGGGAGAACUGGAGAGGCAGAGUAGGCUUCUCUAAUCGCAGACUCCAGUAAUCUACUCCCGCUCUCCUCCUCCGCCCAGAUGAACUCUGACAGCGGGGCCAUUUACAACUGCAGGCCUUCCUCCGCUGCGAGUCCGCUUCCAGAUUUUUUUUUUUUGUGUGCAGGAGGGACGGAGGGAAAGGCUCAAGGGUAUCUGUGAUCUAAUCAUUACACCAUCUCCUCACCCCAGCGACCUCGCUGCAUCCAUCUCUCUGUCGGCUCCUCUCUCUCUCGCUCUGUCUCACCUUGUCACUUCCCUUCUCUCUCCCUUUCUCUCUCUACUGCUCUCUUUCCCCAUGUAUCUUUCAUCCAAUCUCGGUCUCCUCAGUUUCUCUCUGUAUUCUGUCCCCCACCCAGAUGCUCUGUAGGCUGUAACUGCCACUGCUGUAUGUUGGCGGGAGGAGAAUAGAAGUCAGUAUUAUCAGGAGAGGAGGGAGAGAGGCGGUCUAAUUCUCUAUAAACAACCACAUCAAAACGAACCAAGGACUAGUAUAAUUUAAACACAAAUUCGUAGAUUUAAGAGAAAUUAUGCCAAUUAUACACAGGUAGAAUCGUCUAUCAACACUGUUAUCUCUUCAUAGAGUGCGUGUGUGUGUGCGCGCACAGAUUCUGUCCGUAUGCAGAGUCACGCACCAUGUACGUGUGGAGAGACAUUUUGACAGGAUUUAGGGCCAGGCAAGUCUUAGCCCAGCAGGGGUUUUAGGAUACAAUCUCCUUAAGCAACCUGAGAGGACAAGUAGUAAUAUGAAGAGAAACAUAAUACCAACCAUACAUUAGAAAAAUAUGUCAUAUAAUAUUCCUUCCUCCCUGGGCUGAAAAUCCAUCCUUAAUCGAUUGACAAUUCCUCCACCCCCGUCUGUGCUGUAUGGCUAUCAGCACUCACUCCUAACCCAAGUUUGUUCUCGCUCCAUGUCCCUGUUCUGUGAUGUCUGUGAAGCCAAAGACGUAUGCUGUACAUACUGUACAGUCCAUGUUGUGUGUCUGAACCACAGUACCUGACCGCUGUGGCCUGACUCUGAAACCGUGCAAUCUUGACUGUGUAGCAUUACCGUGUAUUGUUGCUGUACCAUACUGUAAAAUAUGUACAUAGAGCAUAAUAAAGAUAUACAUUGCUUCUUUUAA